AUACCCGGUAGUCCACGCCCUAAACGAUGCGAACUGGAUGUUGGGCACAUUACGGUGCUCAGUGUCGAAGCUAACGCGUUAAGUUCGCCGCCUGGGGAGUACGGUCGCAAGACUGAAACUCAAAGGAAUUGACGGGGGCCCGCACAAGCGGUGGAGUAUGUGGUUUAAUUCGAUGCAACGCGAAGAACCUUACCUGGCCUUGACAUCUGUCGAAUCCUGCAGAGAUGCGGGAGUGCCGCAAGGAACGACAAGACAGGUGCUGCAUGGCUGUCGUCAGCUCGUGUCGUGAGAUGUUGGGUUAAGUCCCGCAACGAGCGCAACCCUUGUCCCUAGUUGCCAACACUUCGGGUGGGAACUCUAGGGAGACUGCCGGUGACAAACCGGAGGAAGGUGGGGAUGACGUCAAGUCCUCAUGGCCCUUACGGCCAGGGCUACACACGUACUACAAUGGUCGGUACAAAGGGUUGCCAAGCCGCGAGGCGGAGCCAAUCCCAGAAAACCGAUCCCAGUCCGGAUUGGGGUCUGCAACUGACCCCA
rnacentral:rRNA from 1 species